AAAUAAAUAUUUCAGUGAUUUUUGUGUGCAGAAUAACUAACAUGAAACGCAAUCAGAUCGCGAAUUUGGUGAUAUUUUUCAUAACAUCGAUUUCACUUAAGAAUGUAAAUUGCGACGAACAACUCGCGCCGAAACAAAUUAGCAAAAUAAAUCUCAAAAUAGCAGUUUUACUACCACUUCUGGAAAAAAAGGCGACAUCUCUUUCGAGUCAAACUAAAUGUUCGGAUAUUCUACAUCCUGAUUCCUUACAAACUGUGACAGCUUUGUAUUAUGCGUUGGAUUUGAUAAACAGAGACGAGACACUUUCAAAAAAUUUCACCUUGACCAUCGAUGUCAUAGAAAACUGCCACGAUUCGGUCUUAGGGAUGAGACAUCUUUCAAAUUUAAUCGAACAAUUGCAGAUUGAACCGAUAGACGCUGAAAAUGCUACGUUUGGAGUUAUUUAUUCAAAUGAUUAUGCAGAGUUGAACUACGAAACUAUUUUCCAAUCAUUUCCAAAUUUCCCACUAAUUAGUUGUUCAGGACCUCCGACCGGAAUUACCGAUUUGAAUGGAAUUCAACGAAGUUCGAAUGGUGGUUUUAAUACAGUAACAUCCCGUCAUGUUUUCAUUGUUGACGUGGUAUUUGAAAUUUUAAAGCACUAUAAUUGGAAAUACAUCGCAAUAUACA